rnacentral:rRNA from 1 species
UACAGAGGGGGCAAGCGUUGUUCGGAAUUACUGGGCGUAAAGGGCGCGUAGGCGGCCUGCUACGUCGGACGUGAAAUCCCUGGGCUCAACCCAGGAACUGCGUCCGAUACUGGUUGGCUUGAAUCCGGGAGAGGGACGUGGAAUUCCAGGUGUAGCGGUGAAAUGCGUAGAUAUCUGGAGGAACACCGGUGGCGAAGGCGACGUCCUGGACCGGCAUUGACGCUGAGGCGCGAAAGCCAGGGGAGCAAACGGG